rnacentral:rRNA from 1 species
GGAUAUUUUGGGUAGCAAUAUUCAAAAUGUUCAGUGGCGCANGGGUGCGUAACACGUGGGCAAUCUGCCCGGAGACGCGGGAUAGCUCGGCGAAAGUCGAAUUAAUACCGCAUGUGGCUACUGAGGGAUUCCUCGGGACGCUAAAGAUGGCGCAAGCUGUCAUUUCCGGAUGAGCCCGCGGCCUAUCAGCUAGUUGGUGAGGUAAAAGCUCACCAAGGCUAUGACGGGUAGCUGGUCUGAGAGGACGACCAGCCACACUGGAACUGAGACACGGUCCAGACACCUACGGGUGGCAGCAGUCGAGAAUUUUUCUCAAUGGGGGAAACCCUGAAGGAGCGACGCCGCGUGGAGGAUGAAGGUCUUCGGAUUGUAAACUCCUGUCAUUUGGGAACAACUAUGCGGUUUAACUGACUGCAAAACGAUAGUACCAGAAGAGGAAGGGACGGCUAACUCUGUGCCAGCAGCCGCGGUAAUACAGAGGUCUCAACCGUUGUUCGGAUUCAUUGGGCGUAAAGGGUGCGUAGGCGGUCUCGUAAGUCAGAUGUGAAAUCCCAGGGCUCAACCCUGGAACUGCAUUUGAUACUGCGAGGCUAGGAUACUGGAGAGGAGACUGGAAUUUACGGUGUAGCAGUGAAAUGCGUAGAUAUCGUAAGGAAGACCAGUGGCGAAGGCGAGUCUCUGGACAGUUAUCGACGCUGAGGCACGAAGGCUAGGGGAGCAAACGGGAUUAGAUACCCCGGUAGUCCUAGCAGUAAACGGNGCACGUUUGGNGUAGGAGGAUUCGACCCCUCCUGUGCCGGAGCUAACGCGUUAAACGUGCCGCCUGGNAAGUACGGUCGCAAGAUUAAAACUCAAGAAAUUGACGGGGGCCCGCACAAGCG